rnacentral:rRNA from 1 species
AGAGUUUGAUCCUGGCUCAAAAUCAACGCUGGCGGCGUGCCUAACACAUGCAAGUCGAACGCGAAAGCCCUUUCGGGGGUGAGUAGAGUGGCGUCCGGGUGAGUAACACGUAGGUAAUCUACCUUCGGGUGGGGAAUAACGCCUCGAAAGAGGCGCUAAUACCGCAUAAUGCAGCGGCAGCUAAUGCUGAAUAUUUGUUAAAGCGGGGGACCCCGUAGGGGGCCUCGCGCCUGAAGAGGAGCCUGCGGCAUAUUAGCUAGUUGGGGGGGUAACGGCCCACCAAGGCAACGAUCUGUAGCUGGUCUGAGAGGACGGCCAGCCACACUGGCACUGGCACACGGGCCAGACUCCUACGGGAGGCAGCAGUGGGGAAUUUUGGGCAAUGGGGGAAACCCUGACCCAGCAACGCCGCGUGAGGGAGGAAAUCCUUCGGGAUGUAAACCUCACAAGCAAGGGAAGAGCGCACACGGCAGAAUACGCCGUGUGUCCGACGGUAUCUUGCGUAAGCCACGGCUAACUACGUGCCAGCAGCCGCGGUAAU